rnacentral:rRNA from 1 species
GAUGAGCGCUGGCGGCGUGCCUAAUACAUGCAAGUCGAGCGAACAGACGAGGAGCUUGCUCCUCUGACGUUAGCGGCGGACGGGUGAGUAACGCGUGGAUAACCUACCUAUAAGACUGGGAUAACUUCGGGAAACCGGAGCUAAUACCGGAUAAUAUAUUGAACCGCAUGGUUCAAUAGUGAAAGACGGUUUUGCUGUCACUUAUAGAUGGAUCCGCGCCGCAUUAGCUAGUUGGUAAGGUAACGGCUUACCAAGGCAACGAUGCGUAGCCGACCUGAGAGGGUGAUCGGCCACACUGGAACUGAGACACGGUCCAGACUCCUACGGGAGGCAGCAGUAGGGAAUCUUCCGCAAUGGGCGAAAGCCUGACGGAGCAACGCCGCGUGAGUGAUGAAGGUCUUCGGAUCGUAAAACUCUGUUAUUAGGGAAGAACAAAUGUGUAAGUAACUAUGCACGUCUUGACGGUACCUAAUCAGAAAGCCACGGCUAACUACGUG